rnacentral:piRNA from 1 species
UCGAUGUCCAAUACUCUCAAA